CCGGUGUACAAGUUCACUGUCAGAUCUGGGAUGGCAUACUGGUUUUCUGGUCACUGAUUGUAGAAUCAUAUAGAAUGAUAGAAUGGCCUGAGUUGAAAAGGACUACAGUGAUCAUCGAGUUACAAGCCCCCUGCUAUGUGCAGGGUUGCCAACUACCAGACCAGGCUGCCCGGAGCCACAUCCAGCCUGGCGUUGAAUGCCUCCAGGGAUGGGGCAUCCACAGCCUCCUUGGGCAACCUGUUCAGUGCGUCACCACCCUCUGGGUGAAAAACUUCCUCUUAAUAUCUAACCUAAACAUUCCCUCCUCCCUCAUCUCUGCAGGUAGAACCACUACGAGAAGUAGUGUAGUUCCAGCAGCCCUUUCUACAGGAAACAAGGUGGUUCUUUUCUCCCAUUAAAUUCUUUAAGAAUGAGGAAUUAUUCACAGCUGCUAGAUUUAUGGACUGGGCACAGCAACUGCAUUCACUAGAUAACCUGAAAAUGAAGCUAACUUUGACUUUCAGCUUGUUUCUUAGCAAAUUGGCCGUGUGUAUUCCCAGCAGGAUUGCUGGAGAGAAACAGUGUCCAGUGUGUUCUGGCCUUGUGUAAUCUGCAUUUCUAAUUAAAGCUAUUUGCAAGGCCGGUUAUCUGACAUGUGCAAAGAGCAACUAAUAAAGCAAUGAGAAAAAAACAGCAAUCUGCAACGAAGCCUUUGUUUUAAAAUCCCUUCUUUAAUCUCUUCUUCUUAUGAAUACCGUGUGUCUGUAGGACAAAGAGUACAUUGACAAUGGUUUAUGUUCUUUCCUUCCCUUGACUCUUCUGUAGGGAGUCACCUGCUUGGACACUGAGCAUUCGACGAGAAAUGGCUCUGAGUGCUUCCAAAUCCUACUGAUAUAGGUGGGAUUGGGGUGAGAACAUCAGCCAAUCUGUGCCACUGAAAAUUGUAAUGGCGUUUUAACAGCACAGUAUAUCUAUCUCAUUGCUUAGGGAAACUGAGGCUGGCAUAUUUUCUAUACCGAUGUAAAUCUGCAGGUAGACCUUACUGUUUCUCUUCUGAUUUAUUUUUCUGAUGUUGAUAGAGUACAAGCCUUGAGAGUGCAUUGGAAGAGGACUGCCCUGUGACCCACAACCUCCCAGUGCGUCUGCCUACUGGAUACAGACAAGAGUUCAUUUUUGGAGUUGGUUUGGAUCUUGAGUUUCAGUCCACAGAACUUUUUUCCCAUGCUGAGGUGCCAUGGACAUCUCCAGUUGCACACUUCACCACUUCUGCUCCUUUGGCACUCCAGUUUGCAGCACCACUUGGUGAACAGGAUCAGAGACCAUUUCAAUCACGUCUUAUUUCCCACCACCUUCCCUGAGCAGGCAAGGUUUGAGCAACACCCAGAGUUUGUAGCGUCCUGUGGGUGAAAAACAGACUCUCAAGGGAUGCAACGUCUUGGAGCUACAAAGGAGCGCUUUCCACGUUGUCAAUCUGUGAGUGAGCUGCUCUGGUAUAAGGGAGAAGAAGUGAGUAAAAGAAGGAGAUGAGAAUUUACAGACUUCAGACUCGAGGAUCUUGUAAGACAAAAGCUUGUCACUCUCGUACAUCUUUCCCAUCAGCUGGGAAACAAGACUUAAUCAGUUGAGACGGUGUGAGCGAAUAGGGUUAUCUUGAAGCUCUCUCUAAGAGUGGCCAUAUUAAUACUUAAUUCUGUUGUACAAGAGGUGAAACCUGGAGAAGUCUCACAGAAGGGGACGAUGAGAUGUGAGCGGCCAGGUUCAGUUUUGUUUAAAAUCAAUUCCAUUUGCUCUAUCACACCCUGAUUGUGUUUGUAUUUUUCAGUAAUGUCUGGGAAUAAUUAAUUCUCCUUCACUUAACAGAUCCCUUCCUCUCUCACCACUUGAAAGAAAUUCCCAAUUUAUGUUAAAAAAUUACUUCGACGGCAAAUUACCUUGAGAUUUAAAACCAGUUGCCAGUGCUCCUUUAAGUCAAAUUCUCUUUCCACUUAUAGCACAGAUGCAUGAAAGAGGAGGAUGCUGUUCCUGAGUGAGCGUGGAGGAAGAUUGAGUUGUGCGUAGGAGGACAGAACAGGAGAACACUCCAGAUACUAGGGCCACUCCUCCAGCACACUUAAUAAGUGUUGUUAGAAAGUACUUUGGGGGAGGGAGGAGUGGGGAGUUAAUCUUCCAAGCGUCGUUGAAUGAUGGAACUGAACUGGGAAUAAUAAUAAUUAAGAAAAAAAUCUAUUGAAGAAAGUUGGCUACUUUUCUACAUCAUUCAACUUUAUUCUGGGGGAAUAGGAGACAGUGUUUUUAUCACUCUGUUUCCAAACCAGAUAAAUCACCCUAUCUGCCAGCCAUAACAGAUCCUUCUGUUCUAGCUCUUUCUGUAGUUAUUUUUCCUCUAGAGAGGGAGAAUUGUAGCCCCAAACUUCAUACAGAAGGAUCCAGGGUAUUCAAAACUUCAAAGGUCAUUCAGAC
ensembl:lncRNA